GCCUCAAAAAUCUCUUUUUUCCGUUUAUUGUUGCUAUUGAUAUUGUUGGUGGCGGUGGUGUUGCCGUUAUUGUUAUUAUUAUUGCCCCCUGUACUUGCUGCAUUUUUGCUCUGAACUUCCAGAGCAUCUUUCACAAAAAAUUUUAACCUCCAAAGGGUGGAUUCGCUCUGUGCAUCAAUAUCAAGGUCCACCUCUUCCGCCAUAGCUUGAAAACCUGGAUUAUUUUGAGCAACAAUCUCCAAUGCUUUAGUGAGAUCUUCAGGAGACAAUCUUGAAAGAGCUGCCCCAAGCUUUCGUUUCUCUUCGGUUGACAUUUUUCUGCACUUUUGAACAACCAUGUCUCUAAGUUCAUCCAAAUGCAUAUCAAUCUCAUAAAGCUCAUUACUUAACUCCCUUGCCAUUUUAGCAUGAACAGCUUCUUGAGCAAAUUGCAUGUCCAACUGAGCCUCUGCUUCCUCUAUUUCUCG
rnacentral:misc_RNA from 1 species